CAGAGCUGACCUGCAGAAGACAGCAGAAUUAAUGUGGAACAUAACACUCUGUCUUUCUGUAAGUAUGAUUACUGAUUGUCUUUGUAGUUUUAAUGUUUUUUUAAAUGUAAAUAGAAGUAACGUAUUACUAGCAACAGUGUUAAUGUUAACAGCUGUAACUAAUUGUUCAAGUUAUAUGAUUCAAUGCGAGUUCCACAAGUUUUCCUCUCUUCUCUCACUUGUUCUGAGAGUUUCCAUAUUUCCCAAAGGGGUCACCAGCCAUGCCCCCGUCUCCAGUGAAAAUGUACAGAAAAUUUGGCAGUAUGUCCAACCGGCCUCACAACCCCAGACCACGUAUAACCAUGGCAGCCCAGGACCUCCACAUCCGGCUUCUUCACCUGCAUGAUCAUCUGAGACCAGCCCUCCGGACAGCUGAUAAAACUGUGGGUUUGCGCAACCAAAUAAAAACGUCUCAGGGAAGCUUCUUCGCGUCCUCGACCUGACUGCAUUUUGGCGUCAUUGCCGACUUCUGUGGAAGCAAUCAGUUACAACUAAAAAAGUCAGAUUGAGGCCUUCAAUCAAACUGAAGACAGAGAAAUAUGUGUGCACCAGGUCAAGACUUCUUGCACGGAUGGUUUUGAGAUGUCAGUUAACAAUAAUUCAUUUUGCAAAAAUUAUAUGAAUUGCCAUAUUAGGCAUAACUCAAUUUGAUGUUGUUUUUCUUUCACCCAAGCCUUAUACACCUGAGUAAGAAGGAAGAGACAACUAGUAGACAACUGUCUCUAAAAAAGGAAGUUACAGUCUAGAUUGAAUAUCAUAAUUAGUUGAUUAGUUUGAAUCAAUUGUUUUGAGACUUGAAAUCUUGUGUACUGUGGUUCUCUAGGAACAGUUGGCCACACAUUUAAAGGUAGAUUUUGUAGGCUUAAGUCCCAGUUUAUGCUAGCUACAUUGUCUGUUUAUAUAGCAUUUAUGAAAGGCAGAAACAUUGUUUCCUUGCUGAAAAAUAUAUAGAAUGCCAGUUUUAGUUAGAAGCAUAGCAACAUCAAGGCAACUUUGUAACAGCUGACCUCGUUUUUACAAAGCCAAACCCGCCCGCCCAUUAGCUGCUGUGUCUACCUUUUAAGAUGCCAAAAUAGAAAAUGUUUUCAGUAUCCUAAUUUAGUUUUAGUUUUGUGUUUACUGAUUGUUUCAGUGCAUACAUUCAACAAGCUUUGGAUGAAGGACUUCCACAAGGCUGCCAUCUCCAAAGUUCACUCAAAAAGGCAAUAGCUCUGAACUGGGUUUGAUUUAGUUUUUGUUGUUUUAAUUAUUAAAAUGUUGUUUAUUAUCUUUUAAACUUCCAUUGGUUGAAAGCUAUUUCUCAGUUAACACUUGGCUCAUGUAAAUUCUGUAGUUGCCCCUUUAAAUAUCGGUCAACAUACCCAUAGUGUUCACAUUUCUCUCAUGUAAAUGUUGUAGCUACAUAAAAAUAUUAAAUCA